CCUACGGGUGGCAGCAGUGAGGAAUAUUGGUCAAUGGCCGGAAGGCUGAACCAGCCAAGUCGCGUGAGGGAAUAAGGCCCUAUGGGUCGUAAACCUCUUUUGUCAGGGAGCAAAGGCGUCCACGAGUGGACGAAAGGAGAGUACCUGAAGAAAAAGCAUCGGCAAACUCCGUGCCAGCAGCCGCGGUAAUACGGGGGAUGGGAGGGUUUUCCGGAUUUAUUGGGUUUAAAGGGUGCGUAGGCGGAGUGUCAAGUCAGCGGUAAAAUUUCGGGGCUCAACCCCGUCGUGCCGUUGAAACGGACAGCCUUGAGUGAGUGAGAAGUAAGCGGAAUGCGUGGUGUAGCGGUGAAAUGCAUAGAUAUCACGCAGAACGCCGAUUGCGAAGGCAGCUUACCGGCGCUCAACUGACGCUGAGGCACGAAAGUGCGGGUAUCGAACAGGAUUAGAUACCCGGGUAGUC
rnacentral:rRNA from 1 species